AACAUAGCGGCGCCUCAACUGGCAAACGGUUGCAGACGUGUUCGCGCGCAUAACGUUUCCGGUCUUCUAUUUUCUUCGCUCCCCACCCACCCCAAUCAACGCGACUGGAUAGAACAGCACACAAAGAGCAAUAUCAGCGAACGUAGAAGAGGAGCGGCGGCGUGAUUGGUCUCUCUCUCCUUCAUCGUGCGUUCGAUCAGCGGUGCUGCAGCAGACAUGAGAGCGACACGUUCCGUGCGGGCCGUGCACGCGUUCGUACGGAUGCCGCAUCACCGCAGUGUGCCGCCAACGGGCCCGAGCGGCAUCCUCGUGAACCGUGAUGUGCUGUUCCGCCAGUUUCGUGACUUCUACAGAACUCUUCAGCACUCCACAUUGGUGGAUAAGGUGCACCUCAUGGCCGAGCGCCCAGGCGUGGAAUCGCUGCGGGUGGCUGAUCAGAUGGCCUCCCUCGGACCCGUUCUCUUGGGAAUGCCGCUCACUGGUAUGGAGCACCGCUCAUCGGAGUUCCUCGAAACGAUGCGCUACGUUCGCGGGGCCGGCGGGCCUACCACCGUUUCGGCGUACCUGCAAGAUAACGACGCAUGUCGAUGUCACAGUGGCGAUAUCGUGUGCCUGCCGCAAGGGAUAGCGGUGGGCCACGGGCCGCGCACAAACGCGGCAGCGCAUCAGGUACUGCGUGAAUUGUUUGGCAGCGGGGAGGCGGCUGACGGCGGCGACGGCCCGGCUGUGGCGAGCCCCGGCCGCACCAGCAAGUUUGAGGUGGUGACGCUGGAGCAGGAAGGCGAUGCCCCACCACUUGGGGAUUACUUCGGGUUUGCCGGCAACAACAUACUGCUGGUGUGGAAGGAUGAGCACGGGCUGUUGGCGGUGGAUCAGCUGCAACAGCAACUUACGCAGUCGGAGCUGCAGUUGCAAGUAUUGUAUCUCGAGCCUGGGUGCCACUUUUUCACCUUCUAUGGCGUUGACUACACCCCCGACGUGCUCGUGCAGAAGGGUUUCGAGCGCUCCAUGGACACCAUAGCCGCGGCAGGUUUGAACCCCAUCGCUGUGCAGUGGUCGGAGAUGGAUAAACUCGGAAUCUCGAUGCGGUCGGCUGUGCUGCCGCUGAAGUUUCUCCAGAGCCCGUCGUCAACAGGUGGGCUCCUGCAGCGCAGUCGCAACCGUGGCAACCGCUGGGCAGCCAGUCAAAUUACGUCGUAGACAAAGAAAGACACGAUAGAAGCGGCGAGUGCGAGGAGCCACUCCAGGGUGUGUUCACUGGGCGUGCCUGUGCAGCUGCGGUGUGCGUGGUGUUGGUGAAUGCGUGGGUUCGUUUUCCUCUUGGCCUGCCCCCCUCCUCGGCGCUGCUGGUGAUGUUCACUCGUCCUGGCGUGUGCGUCGCUUAGGAUUGUUGUUAUUCUCUCACAAGCCAACUCAAGCAGAUCCAACCGUUAAUAAUGCCACUCCGACACGCACGCGCAGACCACAAUGACCUUUUUCACGCACCGGUCUUUCACGGGUUGUGCGAUGUGCCUUGGCCCCUCCACCACCACCAGCAUCACCACCCAGGUGACGUCUCUCUUAUGCUUUGUUGAGGAACGCGGCCUGGUGUCUGCGCGAGGAGCUGGAGGACACGAGCAAGAGAGAGAGGGGGUAACCCUCUGCCUUCUGCUCCUCGGCUAAACCUCCAUGCUAUCGGCAAGUGCAUCUUCACGACUGCAGUGGCGCAGUCUUGCCACACACAUACACAUACACACACACACACGCCUUUUCACGUGCGUGCGUGACUCUCCCUUUCUCCCUCCUCCUCUCGCAG
rnacentral:misc_RNA from 1 species